UUGGGUGCCCUCUUCACCUUCUUCUGUUAAUUGUUGUUCCUCUACUUCUGUAUGCUCCAUUUCUUAUUCUUGUACUCAUGUUUGUUCUUCUGACCUUAAUUUUGUUGCUUUGAAUUGCAAUGUAAAUAGUUCCAUUUGUAAUAAUAAAACUGAUGCAAAUGACAUGAAUUACAUUUGGCACUGUUUUUUCUUCUGCCCUUAAUUCUGUUGCUUUGAAUUCCAAUGUAAAUAGUUCCAUUUGUAAUAAUAAAACUGAUGCAAAUGGCAUGAAUUACAUUUGGCAUUUAAGAUUGGCUCACAUUCCAUUUGCAAGCAUGAAACACAUUUCUGCUUUGUCUUUUCCUUUUGCUUCCAAACAACCAUUUCCCUGUUCUGUUUGUCCCAUGGCUAGGCAAACUAGACUUCCUUUUCCUGACAGUUCAGUCAGUACCUGUAGAACUUUCCAACUGAUUCAUGUAGACACUUGGGGCCCUUAUCACACACCCACAUCUUCUGGCUCAAGAUAUUUUCUUACCAUAGUUGAUGAUUUUUCUAGAGCAACCUGGACACAUUUACUGGGGUCUAGAAGUAAUGCUUUCAGCCUUCUUAAGUCCUUUUUGUGAAUGGUCAAGACUCAAUUUAAUGCUACUGUACAAACUAUCAGAAGUGAUAAUGCUUUGGAAUUGGGGUCUNN
rnacentral:lncRNA from 1 species